UCAAAUUGCAACCUCUACUGCAUUCAUAAGGGCCACCUCGAUGACCAGCACACUCUACCCUGGCUCAGCAAAUGACCAUGUUGCCUCCACCCAAGCUCUGGUAUCGACAAGUUGCACCUCCGAUGCAUUCGAGACACAUCCACAAGAAGGAAAAGAGAGGGAGCCAAAAAGAAUUUUAUUUCCAAAGGCUUCUCCCAAGAUUACAAUGGAUCCCAUUAAAAGCUAUAACGAGAUAGGAAGAAAAUUCAUCAAAGAUGUGACUCAGUGCCUUCCCCCAC
rnacentral:lncRNA from 1 species